ACCCGGAUAGUUUAAUAAAAACAUUGGUUUGUGGAUCCAAAGAUAUAAGGUUUUAUUUUGGGUA
rnacentral:tRNA from 1 species